UACGGAGGAUGCGAGCGUUAUCCGGAUUUAUUGGGUUUAAGGGGUGCGUAGGCGGCUUUUUAAGUCAGCGGUGAAAUUUUGCAGCUUAACUGUAACAGUGCCGUUGAUACUGGGGAGCUAGGAUUUGGUUGCUGUGGGUGGAAUGUGUGGUGUAGCGGUGAAAUGCUUAGAGAUCACACAGAAUAUCGAUUGCGAAGGCAGCUCACAAAGCCAAGAUUGACGCUGAGGCACGAAAGUGUGGGGAUCGAACAGGAUUA
rnacentral:rRNA from 1 species